rnacentral:rRNA from 1 species
AUUGAACGCUGGCGGCAUGCUUUACACAUGCAAGUCGAACGGCAGCACGAAAGAGCUUGCUCUUUUGGUUGCGAGUGGCGAACGGGUGAGUAAUGCAUCGGAACGUACCGAGUCAUGGGGGAUAACUGUCCGAAAGGAUAGCUAAUACCGCAUACGCUUUGAGAAGCAAAGUGGGGGCUCUUCGGACCUCACGCUAUUCGAGCGGCCGAUGUCUGAUUAGCUAGUUGGCGGGGUAAAGGCCUACCAAGGCGACGAUCAGUAGCGGGUCUGAGAGGAUGAUCGGCCACACUGGGACUGAGACACGGCCCAGACUCCUACGGGAGGCAGCAGUGGGGAAUUUUGGACAAUGGGCGAAAGCCUGAUGCAGCAAUGCCGCGUGUGUGAAGAAGGCCUUCGGGUUGUAAAGGACUGUUGUUAGGGAAGAAAAGGAUAGUGUUAAUACCAGUAACUGCUGACGGUACCUAAAGAAUAAGCACCGGCUAACUACGUG